rnacentral:ncRNA from 15 species
CGUGGCCGAGUGGUUAAGGCGAUGGACUUGAACGGCAAAAAGUCAUCCAUUCUCGAAAGAGUCGCAGGUUCGAACCCUGCCGA